rnacentral:rRNA from 1 species
AUUGAACGCUGGCGGCAGGCCGAACACAUGCAAGUCGAACGAGGGGCGGACGGGUGGGUAAUGUCUGGGAAACUGCCCGAGGGAGGGGGGUAACUACGGGAAACGGUAGCUAAUACCGCAUACCAUCGGUUGUGCACAGAUGGGAUGAGCUAGUAGGUGGAGUAACGGGUCACCUAGGCGACGAUCCCUAGCUGGUCUGAGAGGAUGACCAGCCACACUGGGACUGAGACAUGGUCCAUACGCCUACGGGAGGCAGUAGUGGGGAAUAUUGCACAAUUGGCGCAAGCCUGAUGCCGCCAUGCCGCGUGUAUGAAGAAGGCUUUCCGGUUGUAAAGUGCUUUCAGCGAGGAGUCGUUACUCGCAGUAGAAGCCCCGGCUAACUCCGUGUCAGCUGCCGCGGUAAUUC